AUAAAUUUUCCGUCAAGAAGGAUUCAAUCUACAAAAAGUGAAUAUAUUGACAAAAAUUUCUUUUUAAUUAAUAGCAGUUGGCUUUAACGAAAAAGAUUAAUCUUCGCAACAAAAAAAAAUUUUCCAAGAAAAACGAUCAUUUGUAACCCAAAAUGGACAGUGAAACCCACCAGACUCCAAAAUGAAAAUUGGAACAUCUGAUGAGAGAAGCAAUUGAAAAAGGUGAAUUUUACAGUGAAAUGAAAAUGAAAUUGAAGUGAAAAAAUGACCUAAUCGACUCCCUGAUCUACUUCAACACAUUAUUUACACCUUUCAAAAUAUUUGAAUAUAGUUAAAAGUAGAUUCGAGACUGGAAUUACCAGAUGAUCCUGUCUUCACUUGCUAAAACUCCAUAUUGAACGAACUAUGCUAAAUUUUGAUUUACUCA